GACGUGGUUACUAUGAACAGACAGGUGUGGGCCCUCUCCCUAUAGUGCUUUUUAAUGGGAUGCCCAUUCAAAAAGAACAACUUGAUCCUGAUGACCUAGAAACAGUGACAAUGCAUAAAAUACUGGAAACCACUAGCAUUUUCCAAAGAGCUGUAUAUUUGGGUGAACUGUCAAAUGAUCAAGAUGUAGUUGAAUAUAUAAUGAACCAACCAAAUGUUGUUCCAAGAAUCAACUCACGAAUCUUGAUGUCUGAGAGAGAGUAUCUAGAUUUGACUGCAACUAAUAAUUUCUAUGUGGAUGACUAUGCUAGAUUUACAUUCUUGGAUUCCAAAGACAAGACAGCUGCAGUUGCCAACAGCAUGACUUACUUGACCAAGAAAGGUAAAGAUAUGAGAUUUUCAACUCUUCUCUGUACUCAUGCUGUAUCUGAUGCAAGUGCAUGCUUACUGUUCUAUUUCUAUUCAGGAUUCCUUUGUAUUGGAAAGGAAAAGCAUUUUCUU